rnacentral:rRNA from 1 species
AGUGAACGCUGGCGGUAGGCCUAACACAUGCCAGUCGAACGGCAGCACAGUAAGAGCUUGCUCUUACGGGUGGCGAGUGGCGGACGGGUGAGGAAUACAUCGGAAUCUACUUUUUCGUGGGGGAUAACGUAGGGAAACUUACGCUAAUACCGCAUACGACCUACGGGUGAAAGCAGGGGAUCUUCGGACCUUGCGCGAUUGAAUGAGCCGAUGUCGGAUUAGCUAGUUGGCGGGGUAAAGGCCCACCAAGGCGACGAUCCGUAGCUGGUCUGAGAGGAUGAUCAGCCACACUGGAACUGAGACACGGCCCAGACUCCUACGGGAGGCAGCAGUGGGGAAUAUUGGACAAUGGGCGCAAGCCUGAUCCAGCAAUACCGCGUGGGUGAAGAAGGCCUUCGGGUUGUAAAGCCCUUUUGUUGGGAAAGAAAAGCAGCAGGUUAAUACCCCGCUGUUAUGACGGUACCCAAAGAAUAAGCACCGGCUAACUUCGUG